AUUUAGGUCUCUGGAUAAUGUACACAAGCCGAUUUACUUAUAUUUUGUUAGCUAUAUAUACUUAUAUUAUACUUAUAUUUUGUUUUAGAGCUAAUUUAAAUAAUAAUUAUUCUAUUGCUGUUAUAGAAAACGGAUAUCUAAUUUCAUUUAAAUUAUGCAAACAUUUUCAGGUUAUUAGCUUCAAAAGCUAAAUAGGCCUAAAAAUAAAAGUAUAAUCUGGUUACUUUAACAUUUUGCUAAAAUUUUUAUAUUUUUGAGGUUAAAUGCCUUUAAAAUAAAACAGUUUUUCUUAUCUUGACAAAUAAAACUUUUUGUGUUAUUCUUUAACCUUAUUGGACAGUUAUGAAUUUAACUAUCUUUGCCUAUAUGUAAUAUAAACUGGAUUGGCUCUCACACUUCAUUUCCGUGUGUCACCAUAAAUCAUUAUCACUGAAUCUUGCUCUCUAUAUUCAUGAAGCCAUUAUUCUGGCAAGUAACGAUUUCCUUGUCAAUUACAUAUAUCUCCUAAUUUUGUCCCCAUACUAGAACGUUAUAGACUAUUGGCUUUGAUAAAUGCACUGAUUACUGACGUAGCAUGGUAUAAUCUAUAUAAAACUUGUUUUUUUUUAAAGGUGUCAGUUUGCUGAGCAAACAACAAAUUGGGAAACUUGAUAUCGGUCCGAUCUAAAACUUGCGGUCCAAAUUAUUAUACUUAUAUAGUGACGCGAAUAUUUGCACAAGUUGUUUUAAUUUAAAUUUAAAUUUCUUGGCGCCCGACACUUGAUUUAUUAUCCUUAUUUUGACUGGACCAUAAGUCUAGUUGGCUAUAAAACAUAUUUAAUGGUUUUUACUUCUGUUAAUGUAAAUCGUAGUAUUCAUCCAACCGCUGUGGUAGCUUAAUCUAAGAAUUGACAGCAUGCAAAUAAGCCAAUGAUAUAAAAUCAUAAAUUACCGAAUUAAAAACCUAAAAAUGAUGGGAGCUACUGACUUAAUGAAGAAAAACCUCUAAUAAGUGUAUUUGAUCCUUCUAUCCAGAUUACAGUGUGGGCGCAAAUAGGAGAAAAAUUCCGGGAAGUGUCUUCAGUUUUCCCUUCGUGGGAAACUUCUUCAUUUGGCGCCGACUGUGUUGGCAAUACGUACACUGAUCGCACAUGCGUAAACUGAAAGUUAUUAAAAAUCCGGGAUUUUCGAAAAAAGAUAAGCUCACGCAUUUGGAGACCGGCUAGAAGAAACCAAACUCUCCGGGACGGUUUACGAAACAACAUUGCGAGCCAUGAAUGAAUCUUGGCCAUGCCAUGUGGAACCGAGGGGGCCCACGUAUUUUUGGCGCCCCCGCGAAAAAUACGUCACCGUGUAUACUCGUGUCGGCCGACGCCGCGACGGAAGGACUAUAUUUAGAAGGGGUAUGAAGGUGGAUUUAAUUAUAUUAGGAGGAACGGUAUUUAAUAAAAGUUUGUUUUUGGCCGGUGCGUGUGCGUGUACAAUUUGAGCAGCUAAUUAGUGUAGGUAUUUUGUUUAUCAUAUUUAUGCACAAUAAAAGCAAGCACUCAAGUGAGUUUAAAUGACAUUUAAAUGUAUAUAUAAAAUUUUCAAGGAAUAAAUUAACAAUUUA
rnacentral:lncRNA from 1 species